UACGUAGGGACCGAGCGUUGUCCGGAUUCAUUGGGCGUAAAGAGCUCGUAGGCGGCUGUUCAAGUCGAACGUGAAAACUCGGAGCUCAACUCCGAGCCUGCGUUCGAUACUGGACGGCUAGAGUCUGGUAGGGGGAUCUGGAAUUCCUGGUGUAGCGGUGGAAUGCGCAGAUAUCAGGAGGAACACCAGUAGCGAAGGCGGCACUCUGGCCGGUACUGACGCUGAGGAGCGAAAGCGUGGGGAGCAAACAGG
rnacentral:rRNA from 1 species